CAUCUAUUAUUACACACCUGAUUUUCUUUUCUUGAUUUUCUUUCAGGGGACAAUCACAUCCUUGCUUUCAUCCUCACUGGAGUUGCUGUUGUUGCUGCUGUUGCUGUUGUUGUUGGAGUCUUUCUGUACCGGAAGAAGAACGGUGAGUGAAUCAAACUCUCCAGGAGGACUGACACCUGAUCUCCACCUGCUCCUACUUCCUGUCCCCUUCCUAGACUCUGAUUGGUUGUCUUCACACAUUGGUGGUCUGGUUGUAUAAACCUCCACCUCUGAAUGAUGAACCUCCUCCAAUGUCGUGUCCAUAGAGAUGUUGUGGCAUUAAGAAUAUGAAAGUCUAAUAACAUGAGGAUAUUCACCACGGUUACAACACUAAUCAUUUCUCUUGAUCCUUAGAUUCAGACAAGCGUCACAAACCAGUUGGUUCUGACACCAGCUCUGAGAACACUGAGGGGCAGAAUCCGUCUCCUGAGGCCCAACCUCUGACCACAGUUCAAAGUUAAAUCAUGAAGAGGCUUCUCACGUUCACCUUCAGACACGUGCCGUCCAUAUGGGCAGAUGCGAGUGGUGUUGCACCUGGGAUUAACAGUGUUGAGUUUCCGCUAAAAAAAAAAACCUUUAAGAGGUUAAUAUUGGAAGAGAAGUUAAAAAUCAAACAAUUUGGCCCAGACAGACCGGACAUAAACAUUAUCCAAAAAACGAAGGAUAGGGGGAAAACUUACAACCUAACUUUCUCCCGAGCAUGGUAUGAAAAUAAUGUGGUUGCACAAAGAGAAACGCUGUGUUUUGUUUUCAAUGUCCACUUUUUCGAGCAAGUGUGUGAACAGGACAAGGGGAUAUAUAGACCACGAAUGUGAAGCGCAUAUAUAUAUAUAUAUAUAUAUAUAUAUAUAUAUAUAUAUAUAUAUAUAUAUAUAUAUAAUAAUGUAU
ensembl:lncRNA